GUUCUCCCUCCUCUAAACUGUCACAGCUUCACCUGCUGGAUCCUGUGGCUGAUAGCUGAAGCUUGCUGCCUCUCCUGCAUGGAAAAGAGUGCUGUGUAACAUAUUGCUGCCCUGGGAACAAAUCUAAUUCAAGAUAAACAAAUAUGGCUGGAAGAACAA